AUACUAAUUCCAAUUACAUCACCAAAAUAGACACCUAUGUAUCAGUAAUUGAUGAUCCAAAACAGACACCAAAACCAGCCCAAUACCUGCAGAAACCAGUCCCUAAAACAAGCAUAAACCAGUCUAANNNNNNCAUUCUCAAAUCCCCAAAAAUGCUGGCAAAUUUCCCCAUUUUCUUUACAGGUGCGGAAUUCAAAUGCUCCCAAACCAAUUACAAUUGGUCUCACAUUAAGCUCAUUACUUCUUCAACGACACUUAAAAUUGAAAUCAUCAUUUUAGAGCAUGACAUCUAUCUGCAUAUGCAUCUAAAUGUAACAAAAUUAUAGAAACCAAUACUAAAUUAUCUCUUCAGAAACAUACCUUCUAUCCACAAAAUUAAAACCCUAGAACCAUGAUUGAAAUUUCUUACCAAAUUUCAACAAUUAACACAUACCAUAGAUAGAACCAUUUCAAAGUGAAAUCAAAUAUUGUACUCUUUGAUCACUCAUUCAC
rnacentral:lncRNA from 1 species